rnacentral:rRNA from 1 species
UACAGAGGUCUCAAGCGUUGUUCGGAUUCAUUGGGCGUAAAGGGUGCGUAGGCGGCGCGGUAAGUCGGGUGUGAAAUCUCGGGGCUUAACUCCGAAACUGCAUUCGAUACUGCCGUGCUUGAGGACUGGAGAGGAGACUGGAAUUUACGGUGUAGCGGUGAAAUGCGUAGAUAUCGUAAGGAAGACCAAUGGCGAAGGCGGGUCUCUGGGCAGUUCCUGACGCUGAGGCACGAAGGUCAGGGGAGCAAACGGG